UACAGAGGGGGCAAGCGUUGUUCGGAAUUACUGGGCGUAAAGGGCGCGUAGGCGGCCUUCUAAGUCAGACGUGAAAUCCCCCGGCUCAACCUGGGAACUGCGUCUGAUACUGGACGGCUUGAGUUUGGGAGAGGGAUGUAGAAUUCCAGGUGUAGCGGUGAAAUGCGCAGAUAUCAGGAGGAACACCGGUGGCGAAGGCGGGUCUCUGGGCCGUAACUGACGCUGAGGAGCGAAAGCGUGGGGAGCGAACAGG
rnacentral:rRNA from 1 species